AGCCCGCGCGCAGCAAUGAAGACCCAACACAGUUAAAAAUCAAUAAAUAAAACAAACAAAACAAAACAAAAAAUGCCAACUAGAAGAAGAGAUUCAUCUACUUAGAUCUUCAAAAGCACAGAAACAAGACUUAUUUGUUUCUUACUAAAGAUAUUUCCCUUUUCCCACCUCUCCCUCCUGUUGUCUGAAACCAGAGCAAGAUGCAACCGUUCUCCAAGUGUCCUAGCAUUUUACCAGCAUUUUCUUAAAGCCUGUUUCCCAUCUGGAUUGUUUCACCCCAGCAUCCUUCAUCCAGGUGCUUUGCUGUAACCCCCCCCAAGAAGGAGGACGCCCACUGCCAGGUUCCUCCCUGUGUUCCUGUAUUGAGAUGCGUGUGACAGGUAUUCCUUAUUCAGAUCUCACAGUGACCUUGUGAUGAGGGUCUGUUCUUCCCAUAAUUUCCAUUUUACAGAAUGGGAAACAUACUCAGAGGGACAAAGGAAUCUGUGCCAGCCCCAGCCAGCAAGUGGGGGGAGCCAACAUUCGGAUGUCAGUCUAUCUUCUUCCAAAGCUUUAUCAAUCCUGCCCAUGAGAGUGGAGCCCUGAGUUGAAUGGAGAGCCACCAGGUGGUGGGAUGACACCAACUUCCUGUCUUCUGUUAGAAAAUAAUGUCAGCUCCUGGUAUCUGUGAGUGAAGGUGGGGCAAGGGCAUGGCUCCAGGUGGGAGAAUGGAGCCCAGGUUGUCGAGUUAUGAAGACCAAGGUGGAUAAAUUUACACUCCAUGAGGAUACGGAGUGAUCACUCCUGCUCUGUAGCACCAGCCUUCUGCCUGCGGCCCAGGACACCGUGUCACCAGGGACUUCCCUGGAGUGGAGUGGUUAAGAAUCCGCCUACCAAUGCAGGGG